rnacentral:pre_miRNA from 1 species
UACAAUGUUUUGACUCUAUGUCUUAUUUAAAAUUUUUUGCGAUUAAUUUUUUUUCUUACUGGAUGAUAAAGCAUGAAUAGUAUUUUAUGUGUGAUUAAUUUUUUUUAAGUUUUUGUAAUUUUUUUCAAAUAAGACGAGUGGUCAAACGUUAUACAUGGAAA